UAAGUAGCAAAGGACACAAAUAUUAACAGCAAAAUCAAAAUUAGAAUGUUGCAUUAAUAGAAGUCCAUGUCUACACAGAGACAUACAUUCAAUUUAUGGUGCAGUAAACUUUUAUUUUACCAACAAUCAAAGCUGGUAGGAAAACAUUGAGUAUUGGUCUAAGCACAAGAAGUAUGUUUCAAUACCAUAUAACCUUAACUAUAGACACAUUGAAAGUUUUUACAGCAUCAUUUUCCCAAUAUAUAGGGUAAACUAACUUGUCUGAUUUUCUUUAGAGUAAAUUUAGGGAAUAAGGAAGUGGUACCAUAAAAUAGACACAAAGCUAAUAAGGGUAUGCAACAUUACCUUCUGAUCAAAACGAGUAUCCAGAUGUGCCCAAUGGUAAUCAUAUCCGAAGCUUA
rnacentral:misc_RNA from 1 species